GCGCCCGUAGCUCAGCUGGAUUAGAGCGUUGGCCUCCGAAGCCAAAGGUCGCAGGUUCGAACCCUGCCGGGCGCACCA
rnacentral:tRNA from 1 species